CUUCCGUUGCUUUCCCCUUUUCUUCCUCUGUUUCUGUGUUUUUCCCUUGGUUUUUUUAUAAUUUUUUAGUGUUUGAUGUGCCACAAACUAUGUGGCCUGAUUUAACUUCUAUUUUUUAUAUAAUUUGUUUGUCCUGCCAUUAAUUUUUUAAUUAUUAUGUUUUCUCUCUCUCUCCCGUAUAUGUUGUUGCUUAGCCUUUGUUUGUUUUAAUUUUUGGUUAGACUCUGCUUUUGGUACCUCUAGCUUCCACGUGUUGAUCAUCGUGGGGGGUUCUGUUCAGAGGCUGGUUGUUUUAUUUUUUGGCUGGAAGCAUCUUCCACUUUCCACUUUUCACUUUCCUCUUCUCUUCUGUCUUCUCCUUUUCUUUUGCUCUCUCUAUAUCUCUCCGCCUGUCUUUCCGUUUAGAUUUUGAUCCGAUCGUCUAAAAAGGUAGUUCGUCUGUUUUUUUCUUCUCUUUUCCAGAAACCAAUCGCACCGUUUUAGGGAACAUUGGUCUUUGAAUUUUAGGGUUUUAUUGUACGAGCUUGCAAGCCAUUUUUGGGUCAGGAAACGUUGCAAGCCCUUUCUGAUUAAGGAAGCAGUGGCUACCUUUUUUUGCGCUUUUGUAUGUACGGUUCCAGGUGCCUCAGGUAUAUACAUUAUGCAACUGUUAAUAUCCAUAACCAAUGCAGGUUUUUAAGCACUCACACAGGUUUGUAUUUCAGUGAAAAAAAUCUAGGAAAAACAAAAGGAGGUUGAACCCAUCUACAUAGUGAGUCGAAAGAAAAAUUAAACUCGAGCUAGAGAAUGAAAACUGGUCUGAUGAAAAAAAAGAAAUGAACACAUAUAAGUGGCUUGAAUGAAAGAUGCAAUUCCAACACCUAUCAAUCAGUUACAACCGUAUAAAAAGGCAGUAAAAAUUCAAGUCCUGUGUACAAUGUGGAGAGCGAGAAUUCCAGAAACGGCUGAUAAAUAUAUGGGCCUGCGCUGUAUACUGAUUGAUGAAAAGCAACGCAGGAGUCUGACUUCCCGCAGCAACGCGCGGGUCACACUUUCUAGUAAGAUCUGAAAGGGAUGGAAUUGUUUUCUUAUUUAGUAACCACUGUAUAUAUCUAUAUAUAUAUAUAUAUAUGUAUGUAUGUAUGUAUAUUCCAAUAAACUUGCUUAUAUCUUUGGAAAUAUGUACGUACCAACUGUCAAAGCAUGUAUAUACCGGUGUCCAAGUUGAGAACAACAAUGACACCCCAUUCUAUUCAAUCUCAGUUAUUGAUACAGCGUUUAUGAUCUAAUUCACCUAUUUUCUCUAUUGCGAUUUUGUCUUAUAUCUCUUAGUUAACAUUAAAAUUUGGAUGGGGGAAAAAGGUUUGUGGUUAGAUCGGUAUUUUAUUAACCCAUAGUGCUCAACCACAUAAGUUAGACCUUUUUGUUGCUUUCUUUUGCUCUAAUCCUGUCGAUUUUUUGGCUAACAUUUCACUUAAUUAAAGGUUUUUAUUUCCCACUAGGAAGUAUCUGGGAAAAUAAAAGGGCAAGGAAACAAGAGUCGAAGUAAAGGCUGUUUCUUUUCUUUUAAAUUGUUUAACGUUUACGCUUUUUUUUUGUCGAGUUCGUAAUUUAGUUCAUUUAUACCAUGCUUUUGGCAUGGUUUAUUCUUUUAAGUGCAGGUUACCUUAUAGACAUUACAAUUUAGGUCUUUAGUUGUUUGAUAGAAAAUCGCUUUCAUUCAUCAUUUCUUAUCGGAUAGUUUAAUCGUUAUGCUCUUAUUUUAGAUCGUAACUCAUUUUGGUUGCGAGUUUGUUCUGUAAUUUUUUUUGUCCUCUGCUAUUAAGAGCUUACCACAUGUGAUAGCAGAGUGAUUGCAUUGGUAGCUUAUGUAUACAAGUGAAUUCAGAUGACACAAUGAGUUUGAUAUUCAAAAAAAUGUCUGUUCAUUUUUUUAAUCUUUAAAAACUGUCGAAUCAAUUUGAAUAUGUAAUUUUAUGUUUAUUGUUAGGUAAAUUGCUGUUUUUUUUUCGCUGAUAAAAAUUAUAGAGUUUGGUUGUGUAAAUGUGUGUAGUUUUAUACAUUUCGCUCGGUUGACAAUUUGAUAAUGGCUAAAGCGCAUUCUUUAAUCAAAUGUGUUUUCUUUCCUCGAUUGUAAAUGUCUUUUUGGUAUUUUGCAAAUCAAAACAAAGUGAAAGCUUUUGAUUGUGAAUUUUGCAACCGCUACGUGCAAUUACAUGUGUGAGAGACUUUUUAAAUUAGACGCAUUACACGCUUCUUAUGGAUUUUAUAACGUCAGAUUUUCAUUCAGUUGCUGUUUUAAAUUGGGGCUUCCAUUUGGUUGAGCAUCCUUUUCUCCAAAAGGGAUGGACAGAAGUCCCAGGCAUCAAUAUCUUUGUGAUCAUUGCUGGGAAAAUAUCGUGGUCAUUUUGAGUUCGGAUUCAGCUAGCAUGUGAUCUGUGCAAGCUAUCCAUAUAUGGAUCAAUGCUAUGGACUCUUCUCAACCUAUGGACCUCAAAUUUCAGUGCGUCUUCCAUCAUUUAUCCUACCUCACUAUGUAUGGACCUAUUACAUUUGCAAUCAUAUUAAUUUCUUGAAAACAAUAUUUAUAUUUCUCUGUAAACUGCUAAUUUUGGAAUAUACUAUCGUUUCCUUGCUGGUACAUUAAAAUGAAAAUAUGAAAAGUAGUCUCAAUCUCGCCCGGGGGUGUUGUAGGCCAAUUCGAUGCUACGAGGCACUUCGUUUAGGGCUAUCUGAGGGUGAGAGGUGUUGGGUGUCUGAGACAAGGGGUUUCAGUUUAGGGAACCAAAACAUUCAGUUUCGUCCUGCUCAUUGUACAAUGUCUUUUCAUGUUAGUUCAGUUGAAUGUAUAUAAAAACAAAGUUGCAUAUCUUACCGACCUCAUUCACUCAUC